rnacentral:rRNA from 1 species
ACUGCUCAGUAACACGUGGACAACCUGCCCUUAGGACGGGGAUAAACCCGGGAAACUGGGUAUGAUACCCGAUAGGUCUCGAUUGCUGGAAUGCAUCGAGAUUUAAAGCUCCGGCGCCUAAGGAUGGGUCUGCGGCCUAUCAGGUAGUAGUGGGUGUAGCGUACCUACUAGCCUACGACGGGUACGGGUUGUGAGAGCAAGAGCCCGGAGAUGGAUUCUGAGACACGAAUCCAGGCCCUACGGGGUGCAGCAGGCGCGAAAACUUUACAAUGCUGGCAACAGCGAUAAGGGAACCUCGAGUGCCAGGUUACAAAUCUGGCUGUCGAGAUGCCUAAAAAGCAUUUCAUAGCAAGGGCCGGGCAAGACCGGUGCCAGCCGCCGCGGUAACACCGGCGGCUCGAGUGGUAACCGUUAUUAUUGGGUCUAAAGGGUCUGUAGCCGGCCGGAUAAGUCUCUUGAGAAAUCUGGCAGCUUAACUGUCAGGCUUUCAGGAGAUACUGUCUGGCUCGAGGCCGGGAGAGGUGAGAGGUACUUCAGGGGUAGGGGUGAAAUCUUGUAAUCCUUGAAGGACCACCAGUGGCGAAGGCGUCUCACCAGAACGGACCUGACGGCAAGGGACGAAAGCUAGGGGCACGAACCGGAUUAGAUACCCGGGUAGUCCUAGCCGUAAACGAUACUCGCUAGGUGUCGGCCACGGUGCGACCGUUGUCGGUGCCGUAGGGAAGCCGUGAAGCGAGCCACCUGGGAAGUACGGCCGCAAGGCUGAAACUUAAAGGAAUUGGCGGGGGAGCACCACAACGGGUGGAGCUUGCGGUUUAAUUGGAUUCAACGCCGGG